CCGGGCUAACUCUGUGCCAGCAGCCGCGGUAAUACAGAGGGUGCAAGCGUUAAUCGGAAUUACUGGGCGUAAAGCGAGCGUAGGUGGCUUGAUAAGUCAGAUGUGAAAGCCCCGGGCUUAACCUGGGAACGGCAUCUGAUACUGUUAGGCUAGAGUAGGUGAGAGGAAGGUAGAAUUCCAGGUGUAGCGGUGAAAUGCGUAGAGAUCUGGAGGAAUACCGAUGGCGAAGGCAGCCUUCUGGCAUCAUACUGACACUGAGGUUCGAAAGCGUGGGUAGCAAACAGGAUUAGAUACCCUGGUAGUCCACGCCGUAAACGAUGUCUACUAGUCGUUGGGUCCCUUGAGGACUUAGUGACGCAGCUAACGCAAUAAGUAGACCGCCUGGGGAGUACGGCCGCAAGGUUAAAACUCAAAUGAAUUGACGGGGGCCCGCACAAGCGGUGGAGCAUGUGGUUUAAUUCGAUGCAACGCGAAGAACCUUACCUGGUCUUGACAUAUCUAGAAUCCUGCAGAGAUGCGGGAGUGCCUUCGGGAAUUAGAAUACAGGUGCUGCAUGGCUGUCGUCAGCUCGUGUCGUGAGAUGUUGGGUUAAGUCCCGCAACGAGCGCAACCCUUGUCCUUAGUUACCAGCGGUUUGGCCGGGAACUCUAAGGAUACUGCCAGUGACAAACUGGAGGAAGGCGGGGACGACGUCAAGUCAUCAUGGCCCUUACGACCAGGGCUACACACGUGCUACAAUGGUAGGUACAGAGGGCAGCUACACAGCGAUGUGAUGCGAAUCUCAAAAAGCCUAUCGUAGUCCAGAUUGGAGUCUGCAACUCGACUCCAUGAAGUAGGAAUCGCUAGUAAUCGCGGAUCAGAAUGCCGCGGUGAAUACGUUCCCGGGCCUUGUACACACCGCCCGUCACACCAUGGGAGUUGAUUGCACCAGAAGUGGUUAGCCUAACCUUUAGGAAGGCG
rnacentral:rRNA from 1 species